GAUGAACGCUGGCGGUGUGCUUAAUACAUGCAAGUCUAGCGCAGCGGGGACGGGUGAGUAACAUGUGGCUAACCUCCCAUAAGACUGGGAUCACUUCGGGAAACUGGAGCUAAUCCGGCUCCUUAUAGAUGGUCCUGCGCUGCAUUAGCUAGUUGGUAAGGUAACGGCUUACCAAGGCAACGAUGCAUACCCGACCUGAGAGGGUGAUCAGCCAAACUGGAACUGAGACACGGAACAGACUCCUACGGGAGGCAGCAGUAGGGAAUCUUCCACAAUGGGCGAAAGCCUGACGGAGCAACGCCGCGUGAGAGAUGAAGGUCUACGGAUCGUAAAACUCUGUUAAUAGGGAAGCGGUACCUAAUCAGAAAGCCACGGCUAACUACGUGCCGGCAGCCGCGGUAAUUC
rnacentral:rRNA from 1 species